rnacentral:rRNA from 1 species
GACGAACGCUGGCGGCGUGCUUAACACAUGCAAGUCGAACGGAAAGGCCCUGCUUUUGUGGGGUGCUCGAGUGGCGAACGGGUGAGUAACACGUGAGUAACCUGCCCUUGACUUUGGGAUAACUUUAGGAAACUGGGGCUAAUACCGGAUAGGAGCUCCUGCUGCAUGGUGGGGGUUGGAAAGUUUCGGCGGUUGAGGAUGGACUCGCGGCUUAUCAGCUUGUUGGUGGGGUAGUGGCUUACCAAGGCUUUGACGGGUAGCCGGCCUGAGAGGGUGACCGGCCACAUUGGGACUGAGAUACGGCCCAGACUCCUACGGGAGGCAGCAGUGGGGAAUAUUGCACAAUGGGCGGAAGCCUGAUGCAGCAACGCCGCGUGCGGGAUGACGGCCUUCGGGUUGUAAACCGCUUUCGCCUGUGACGAAGCGUGAGUGACGGUAAUGGGUAAAGAAGCACCGGCUAACUACGUG